rnacentral:lncRNA from 1 species
AUGAGGUCUGAGUCGAAAAGGCACCUCACAAUUCAACUCGGUUGUGACAUUCAACAAACGAGGUCUGAGUCGAAAAGUAUUCUCAUCUGGAUACACUUAAACUUAAAAAUGUAAGGGACAAGUUUGAAAGUUCAUAACCAGAUUGUCGAUUGAAUCGCGUUGAAGAACCAUGGAAGGGGAAAUAUCAUCUAUUUGAACGAUAUUGACGGCAAAACAAGAGCUUUUACAAUAAAGGUAAAAGUCGUUAGGCUAUGGAAGAGAUCAAAUCCCAAAAAGGUUGGUGAGACAUGGGCUAUUGUUAUGGUGCUCAUAGAUUAAGAGGGAACCAAAAUGCAGGCCACUGUGU